GACGAACGCUGGCGGCGUGCCUAAUACAUGCAAGUAGAACGCUGGAGGAGGAGCUUGCUUCUCUGGAUGAGUUGCGAACGGGUGAGUAACGCGUAGGUAACCUGCCUGGUAGCGGGGGAUAACUAUUGGAAACGAUAGCUAAUACCGCAUAAGAACAGUUGUUGCAUGACAGCUGUUUAAAAGGUGCAAUUGCAUCACUACCAGAUGGACCUGCGUUGUAUUAGCUAGUUGGUGGGGUAACGGCUCACCAAGGCAACGAUACAUAGCCGACCUGAGAGGGUGAUCGGCCACACUGGGACUGAGACACGGCCCAGACUCCUACGGGAGGCAGCAGUAGGGAAUCUUCGGCAAUGGACGGAAGUCUGACCGAGCAACGCCGCGUGAGUGAAGAAGGUUUUCGGAUCGUAAAGCUCUGUUGUAAGAGAAGAACGAGUGUGAGAGUGGAAAGUUCACACUGUGACGGUAUCUUACCAGAAAGGGACGGCUAACUACGUGCCAGCAGCCGCGGUAAUACGUAGGUCCCGAGCGUUGUCCGGAUUUAUUGGGCGUAAAGCGAGCGCAGGCGGUUAGAUAAGUCUGAAGUUAAAGGCUGUGGCUUAACCAUAGUACGCUUUGGAAACUGUUUAACUUGAGUGCAAGAGGGGAGAGUGGAAUUCCAUGUGUAGCGGUGAAAUGCGUAGAUAUAUGGAGGAACACCGGUGGCGAAAGCGGCUCUCUGGCUUGUAACUGACGCUGAGGCUCGAAAGCGUGGGGAGCAAACAGG
rnacentral:rRNA from 1 species